rnacentral:rRNA from 1 species
GCCACUUCGGUGGUACUCGAGCGGGGAACGGGUGAGUAACACGUGAGUAAUCUGCCCUGGACUUUGGGAUAGCCACCGGAAACGGUGAUUAAUACCGGAUAUGACCUGAUGCCGCAUGGUGUUGGGUGGAAAGUUUUUCGGUUCAGGAUGUGCUCGCGGCCUAUCAGCUUGAUGGUGGGGUAAUGGCCUACCAUGGCUUCGACGGGUAGCCGGCCUGAGAGGGUGACCGGCCACACUGGGACUGAGACACGGCCCAGACUCCUACGGGAGGCAGCAGUGGGGAAUAUUGGACAAUGGGCGGAAGCCUGAUCCAGCAACGCCGCGUGAGGGAUGACGGCCUUCGGGUUGUAAACCUCUUUCAGUACCGACGAAGCGAAAGUGACGGUAGGUACAGAAGAAGCACCGGCCAACUACGUGCCAGCAGCCGCGGUAAUACGUAGGGUGCGAGCGUUGUCCGGAAUUAUUGGGCGUAAAGGGCUCGUAGGCGGUUUGUCGCGUCGGGAGUGAAAACACUGGGCUUAACUCAGUGCUUGCUUCCGAUACGGGCAGACUAGAGGUAUGCAGGGGAGAACGGAAUUCCUGGUGUAGCGGUGAAAUGCGCAGAUAUCAGGAGGAACACCGGUGGCGAAGGCGGUUCUCUGGGCAUUACCUGACGCUGAGGAGCGAAAGUGUGGGGAGCGAACAGGAUUAGAUACCCUGGUAGUCCACACCGUAAACGUUGGGCGCUAGGUGUGGGGUCCAUUCCACGGAUUCCGUGCCGCAGCUAACGCAUUAAGCGCCCCGC